rnacentral:rRNA from 1 species
UACGUAGGGUGCGAGCGUUGUCCGGAAUUAUUGGGCGUAAAGAGCUCGUAGGCGGUUUGUCACGUCUGCUGUGAAAUCCCGAGGCUCAACCUCGGGCCUGCAGUGGGUACGGGCAGACUGGAGUGCGGUAGGGGAGAAUGGAAUUCCUGGUGUAGCGGUGGAAUGCGCAGAUAUCAGGAGGAACACCGGUGGCGAAGGCGGGUCUCUGGGCCGAUACUGACGCUGAGGAGCGAAAGCGUGGGGAGCAAACAGG